rnacentral:rRNA from 1 species
AUACGGAGGGUGCAAGCGUUACUCGGAAUCACUGGGCGUAAAGCGCGCGCAGGCGGCUUGAUAAGUUGGAUGUGAAAGCCUACGGCUCAACCGUAGAACUGCAUCCAAAACUGUCAAGCUAGAGUCUGGGAGGGGAAGAUGGAAUUAGUUGUGUAGGGGUAAAAUCCGUAGAGAUAACUAGGAAUACCAAAAGCGAAGGCGAUCUUCUGGAGCAGUACUGACGCUGAGGCGCGAAAGCGUGGGGAGCAAACAGGAUUAGAAACCCUAGUAGUCC